CUAGCAUAAGGUCACAAACUCCGGGAGGUUCCUAACAGCAAGGAAAUGGAAUAGAGGAAUUGUCAGCCCUUUCAGAGUCUUACUCUGUCAUGUCACCCUUGGUAGUGUGCCAUGGUGUCACAGCUCACAGCAACCUCCAACUCCUGGGUUCAAGCAAUCCUCUUGCCUCAGCCUCCCAAGUAGCUGGGACUACAGGUGUCUGCCAUGAUGCCAGGCAUCAGUUCUUUGCUCCUUGAAGCAAGAUGAUCCAUCUCAGAUGAAAAGGUUCUUAUUGUCAAGAUCCUUGCCAUCAAGAAAAGUCAAUGGGGUGGCGCCUGUGGCUCAGAGGAAUAGGGCGCCGGCCCCAUAUGCCGGAGGUGGCAGGUUCAAACCCAGCCCCAGCCAAAAACUGCAAAAAAAAAAAAAAAAAAAAGAAGAAGAAGAAAAAAAGAAAAGUCAAUGCAUGAAUUAUAAUUUAUUUACCACAAUGGGAUUUCUCCAGGGCAAAGAUAAGGGCUGAAUAAAGAACUGAAUAUUGGGACGGUGU